rnacentral:rRNA from 1 species
AUUGAACGCUGGCGGCAGGCCUAACACAUGCAAGUCGAGCGAGCGGCGGACGGGUGAGUAAUGUCUGGGGAACUGCCUGAUAGAGGGGGAUAACUACUGGAAACGGUGGCUAAUACCGCAUACUAUCGGAUGAACCCAGAUGGGAUUAGCUAGUAGGUGGGGUAAAGGCUCACCAAGGCGACGAUCCCUAGCUGGUCUGAGAGGAUGAUCAGCCACACUGGGACUUAGACACGGCCCAGACUCCUACGGGAGGCAGCAGUGGGGAAUAUUGCACAAGGGGCGCAAGCCUGAUGCAGCCAUGCCGCGUGUAUGAAGAAGGCCUUAGGGUUGUAAAGUACUUUCAGCGGGGAGGCGUUACCCGCAGAAGAAGCACCGGCUAACUCCGUGCCAGCAGCCGCGGUAAUAC